GUUUAAUGAAUUUAUAAAAUUUUACAUAUAUAAUGAAAAAGACGAAUUUGUUAAUAUGAGAAAUAUAUUAGAAAAAUGUAAAAUUGAAAGUAGAUAUCAUUCUAUUUAUUACAAUUUUAAUAAUAGUAAUAUAAAAAAAAAAAAUAAAAUAAAAAAAAAAAAAUUCAGGUUAUUUUAUUCUUAUGAUUACACAUUAGAUAUUGAAAAAAACUGUCACUUAGUUGGCAAAAAACGUAACUAUAUUGUGUUUGGUGAUAGAUUUGGAGAAAGUAUUACUAAUAGUGUUAUUGACAGUAGUAACAAAAACGACAGUAAUAAUUAUAAUACAAAUUUAGUAAAACAAAAAGAAGAUGUUGUUUACAUAGGUGAAGGACAGCUACAUAAAACAAAAAAGGUGAAUAUAGUUAAUAAAAGAAGUUUAAAAAAAAAGGAAAAAGAAAAAAAAAAAUUGCCUGAUUGUCAUAAUCACAAUUAUAAUUAUGAAGAAUUGAUACAACAUGAAGAUAAAGAAUUACAUAAAGAAAUUGACAAGGAAUUAUUACAUUUUGAUAAAAUAGAUACUAUUAUUGAGCCACAAAUAGAAAGAAGUGAAACUUGUAAAAACAAUGUAUAUGAUAAUAAUUUAAAAAAAACAAAUAAUGAUGAUAAUUUAAAAAAAAAAGCAACAGGGGUAGAUAAAUUGAAUAGGAAACAAACAGAAAUGAGCAAAUUAAAUAGUAAAAAUAAAUAUUUCGCAAAAAUGAUAGAAAAACAAAACAAAACAAAUAAAAUGUUAACAUUCGAUACUCUAGAUGAAGAUGUGAAAAAAAAUAUUAGCAUUGUAAAUUAUAAUAACGCUUAUAGUUAUUUAAAUAGUGAAAAUCCGUCAUUUGACACUGAUGGAAGUAGUACACGUGACACUGAUGGAAGUAGUACACGUGAUAUUGAUAGAAGCAGUACAUGUGAUACUACUUCUGAUGUGUUACCCCUUAGUUUAGAAAAUAUAAAAAAGGAAAAAAAAAAAAAAAACGAUAAUUUUGUUAACGAUCAUGGUGAUAGUGAUAAAACUAUAAACAAACUAGAAGAAAGGAUGAUUGAAAAAACCAUUAAACUGAUGUUAGAGAAAACGAAGCGAGCAAAAAAUGAAACACAUAUAUGGGAAGAAGGUGAGGCAAAUGCAUGCGAAAAGGAUGAAAAGAAAAGAAGUAAACAUAAUGAUAGUCAAUUUAAAACAAGUGGUAAGAAUGAAAAAGAAGAUUACGAAAUAAGUAAAUUUUUUAACGAUAUGAACAUAAAAAUUAAAUUAAACAAAGAUACUUGUGUAGGUUGUGGUAUCACCUUUCAAUCAAACGAUGCAAAUAAAUUUGGUUUUAUUAAAAAUCAUUUAUAUGAACAGAUAGUAACUAAAGAAGAGGACAUAGAAAAAAAUAACAUAUUACGUGAUAUUUAUAAUGAUAAUUAUAAGAGCUUAAGUAAAGCAGAAACCAAUGGAAAUAAAAAUAUGAUAAGUGAUGUACAGCGUAGUGAGAUACAUAACGUAGUAGGUGCCUAUUCAAACGAUUUAAGCGAUUCAUAUCCAUGUACAAAUACGUCGGAGCAGAAACAAUUAAACAAGAACUUAACAUAUAUAUGCGAAAGAUGUUUUAAUUUAAAAUAUAGAAACAAAAUUAACAAAAGAUUUAUUGUAAAUUAUGUGAAUAAUCAUGAAAUAAGUGCUCAAGAUUUUGAAAAAUAUGUUAUUAAUAUAUUUAAAAAAAGAAGUUGUAUUAUAUAUAUAGUUGAUAUAAUAGAUUUAUAUGUAUAUUCUAAUUUAAAAAAGUUAUUUGAAAUUUAUAGAAAAUUACAUUCAGAUAAAAGCAAAGUUGAAGGUUUUUAUUUUUGUAUUAAUAAAAUGGACUUACUAGGAAACUAUAAAGAAUACACUGUUAAAAAUUAUAUAUAUAAUUAUUUAAGAAGCCAUAAAAUAAACAUACUAUUUAAUAAUAUUUUUUUAGUAAGUGCUAAAACAGGUUAUAAUGUGAAAAAAAUGAUUUAUACUGUUUAUAUGAAAAAUAUAAAUUAUUUUAAUAAAAAAAAAAAAAUAAAUAAAAAUAAAAAUUUGAUGGAUAGUAAAAAUGAUGAUAUGAGUAGCGAAGGAGAUACACUUAUUUCCAGUUCACCUGAUCAAGAUAAUACUUACAAUGAACAUGUUUUAAAAAACGACCAGCUUUUUAACAUUUUCGAAGACAGAGAAAAAGAUAGUUACAUAAAUUUUGAAAAUGAUGAGGAUUGGAAUGGGUUUAAAGAUGAACUUAUUAAUGAUAAAGAAAUAGAUGUUACAAAUAAUGAUAUAAAUAAUGAAAAGAAAAAAAAAAACAAGUUAAUAAAAAAAUUAAAUAUUUACAUAGUUGGUAAUGCAAAUAGUGGUAAAUCAUGUUUAAUAAAUUGUAUACUAAACGAAAUUAAAAGAGAAAAGAGGAAAAGCGGGAAAGGUGGUGGAAAUAUGAACGAAGAGAAUGAGUGGAAUGACAUAAACAACAUAAACAACAUAAACAACAUAAACAACAUUUUAAUUAGUAGUAGCAUAAUCCCAGGAUGUACAUUAAAAAAUAUAAAAAUACAAUUAAAUAAUAAAUUAACAAUUAAUGAUACGCCAGGUAUUAUUUCAAAUAACUCUAUUUUAUCUCAUCUCAAUUAUGAUGAAAUGAAAUAUGUAGUAUGCACAAAAUUAAAAAAAAAAAUUCCUUCUAUGUAUAUAAAUAAAGACGAUUAUAUAUUUAUAGGAGGUAUGGUAUAUAUACAAAUUUUAGACAUUAGUAAUUUAUAUGCAAAUAUUUCAUUUUUUUUAUCGGAUAAAAUAAAAAUUAUUAAAAGAAGAAAAUUAAAAAAAGAUGCCUUUGUUUUUUUAAAAGAAAAAAUAAACAACGGUUUUCUUUAUCCACCUCAUUCUGUUGAAAGAUUAAAAGAAAUAAAUGGUGAUUUUAAAGAAUGCUAUUUCAAUAUUCAAAACGAUUUAACUAAUAUAAAUAAUUCUAGCUAUGAUAUACAUAUACAAGGGUUAGGAUUUAUAACAUUCUAUUCAUUUAAAAAUAUAGAA
ensembl:lncRNA